rnacentral:rRNA from 1 species
GCAAGUCGUGCGCGAAAGUCUUCGGACGAGUAAAGCGGCGAAAGGGUGAGUAACACGUAACCAACGUACCCCUCAGAUUGGGAUAACCACUGGAAACGGUGGGUAAUACCGGAUGGUCCUACGAGCCGACAUCGGCUCGAUGGUAAACGGCGGCUUCGGCUGUUGCUGAGGGAGCGGGUUGCGGCCUAUCAGCUUGUUGGUGAGGUAAUGGCUCACCAAGGCAAUGACGGGUAGCGGGUCUGAGAGGAUGGUC